GGGUCAGUAGGUUGGUCGUGCCACCGGUACGUACUGGUCUCACUGAUUCCUCCUUCCUGAAGAACCGUAAUGCCAUUAAUUUGGUGUUGCUGGGAAACAGGACUGUUACUUUGAAAAAAUUAGAGUGUUUAAAGCAAGCUAACGCUUGAAUACAUUAGCAUGGAAUAAUGAAAUAGGACGAUCGAUCCUAUUUUGUUGGUCUCUAGGAUUGACGUA
rnacentral:rRNA from 1 species